UGUGUAAAAAAUGAUCAAAUUGUAAAUCGCUCUGGAUAAGAGCGUCAGCCAAAUGCCGUAAAUGAUGCCAUGACAGUGAACACAAAUGUUGAAUGACCAGCACUUUUGUGGUCAUUCACUUGAAUCACAGCUGUCAGACCAAAAGCAGCAGGAAGCUUAUUCGUCUCACUUCAUCUGAUGUCCCACCUUUUCUGAACUUGUCAGAACAUCUUCAGCCUACAGCAGGUGUAUAUAUUUUAAUAGCCACCUGUUUCUACAGGUGAUAGUAAAGGGAACAGACUUUCAAAAGCACAUCUGACUGUGAGGAUUUACAGUAGAGUCUGAGGUUGUUCAGGUUAUUGGAGUCAUUAGCAUCUUGCUGUUAGCUUAGCUAAUGCGGUGACGGGUAAUGAAUUCUGCGAUUAAAAUUUUUGCUCUUUUGCGUGAACAUGUUUUGAAUUAAAGUAAUGUUGUUGAGGCGAAAGAACGUCCUGUGGUACACAAGCCAAGCUGAAGCCAUAAAAUCGACCAGUCGUUCACCGACAAACCGUAGAGUAAGACGCUUUUUCUGGAGCUCCUACAGACCGACACUUGCGAUGAUACGUUAGCAAAUACUUUUUCUAGCGCAACGACAAAAAACGGGGAAAGCAUACUUAACGACUCAUGUGGCUGACUGAGUGGAGAGUCCGUUUUCUGGUUGGUCAGUAGUCACAAAUUUAGAUUUUGUUAUCUGUUUUCUGUUAGGUCUUUAAGGAAGCUAGUACUCUGAACUGACUUUAGCCAAAAGCUAACGCUUUAAAAUCCUGGGGGUUACCACAGUAACUGAACGUCAGCGCUGCAUUUCAUUCAUGAGAAUUUGGUGAUUGAAGAUUACAGUUUCUCUUUAUGGUACACAGUCUAUUCUGUGGUCAUUUAAAUGUUUACAGAUAAACAAUUUAGACAUUUUAUUUGACCAUUUUGCUUAGGAAUGAACAUCUUUCUAUCCUCUGUCUUCAUUCCUCAGGUAAUCUUUCUCUCUUUGCAAUGUGAAAUGACUAAAGCUGUGGAGAAUCAUCUUGCUGACUUGAGGAAACUAUCUACAUAUCCCUGCCAUCCCUGCAGCAGACCUGCCACGACAUGAACAACGCACACAAGAUGUUCGUGCCCAUUUAUUCAGAGUGGACUUCGGGUGGCAGAAAGCUGGUGGAAGUGAAGCUUCAGCACACGGCCAUUUACAGCGGCCUGGAGUCUGAGCUCUGGUGGAUUUCUCAGCAAUGAGUUCUACCAUGUGCUCUCACUACAGCUUCCUCCCCUGCAUUUUGCCACUACUAGAGCUGUGGCCUGCUUCAAAGUAAAGCUAUAGAAUGACUUGGAUUAUAAAGCUUUUGGAAGCAGUUCGAUUUGAUUUUCAUGAACAUGUCCUCUGUUCAUUCAGCACACUGGAUCAUUCAUCAGAGAGGCCAAGAUCUACCUGCACGUUGUCGAGCAACAGAGUGUUUAGGGAGUUUCUAUUGGUCCGGAUGGCUACUUCAUUUGUCUCGACUCCAGAGAUGCCUGGACCCUUGAGGCACCGGCACCUUCUGUGUUUUCACCCAGGCCACCAGGACCACCUCCAGGAUUUCAAUCAGCUGCAGGACCCUUUAGACUUUUUCCUUAUUAUUUUAAUG